rnacentral:rRNA from 1 species
GCAAGUCGAACGGCAGCACGGGAUCUUGCUCCUUGUGGCGAGUGGCGAACGGGUGCGUAAUGUAUCGGAACGUACCGUGUAAUGGGGGAUAACGCUUCGAAAGAGGUGCUAAUACCGCAUACGCCCUGAGGGGUAAGCGGGGGAUCUUCGGACCUAGCGUUAUACGAGCGGAUGAUACCGGAUUAGCUAGUUGGUGGGGUAAAGGCCCACCAAGGCGACGAUCCGUAGCUGGUCUGAGAGGACGACC